AUGUGUUGUUCUGGAUGUUGGUGCCAGUUUAUAGUAGGAGGGCUAAAAGAAAUACCGGAGAAGCACGUUGCAAAGAGGUGGGCGGUUGAUGCAAGGGAUGUUUUGUCACAUCACCUUAAGCAAUAUCAGAACGAUAACUACCGAGGGCGCACCGCACCACACGAGCGAAAAAAUCACCACCGCGCGAGGGACGAAAACGGCAUCAAACCCAGCCCCACGCCCCUCCCUCAUCCGCCGCCACUCCCUCCCUCCUCCUCCUCCUCCUCCUUCUACGCCGUAGGAGCCUCGCCGCCGCCGGCUACUCCUCCACCGCCUCGCCUCUUCCUCCUCCCUGCCUUCCCAUCGCUCGCGUGCAGGCCAUCGUGGCCACGCGCUUCACGGGCGAACCUGAUUUCCAACGCCUGCUCCGGGUUUGCGCAGGACGGGCUCCCCUGCAUCCUCCUCCUCGCGGCCGAGGACGACACCUUCGGAGUGAGCUGCGGCGCACGAUUCGAUCUGCGGGAGAGAGAGAAGAUGAGAGGGAGAAGAUGGAAGGAGAGGAGGGAGAAAGAGAGAGAGAGAGGAAAGAGGAGAAGGAGGCGCCGUCGUCCCCUCCACCCAGCCAGCCGUCGCCGCACCUCCUCCACCCGGCCAGCCGCCGCCACUCGCGCCCGUCUCCUCCGGCCAGCCUCCGCCCGCAACCUCCCCCCUCCCGUUUUCAGAAGGGAAGGGAAGGUUUUCACUGGAAGAAAGAUAACUAAGAUCCCUUCUUUUGACAUGUGCAUCAAGAAUGAACAAAAAGAAGGUACAGAUUGGUUCAUCCAGAUUGAAUACUGCCACACUGCUACGGUCUUGAAUUUGUGGAAGGCAGCAAUGUGCUUGGUCUGGAGUUGGUGUCGCCAUGUGCUAGCAGCCCAUCACUUGAUCUUGAGAUGGUCCCCUGCAUCGCGGAUGCCACAAAUAAGGAAGGCAGACAUCAUUGACGUGCGUGGUAAGAGCUCCAUCUCCCCCACCCAUAGCCCCCAACUUCUGUUUUGGAAGCAUGUCUUCAUCACCAUCUGCGCCAGUAUCUUGCUUUCGCCUUUCUCCUGUCUUGUCGGUGAGCUGAAGUUUUCCAUGCAGAGUAACUGUGAGAAACAGAAAUUGCUUGAGGCUACUGUGAGAUCUGAAAUCUACCAGUCGGAACUGGCGAACCUAAAAAGAACUUUGACCCUCAUUGGCUUUUUGUGUGGGUUUGCAUCUGUUAUGAUGUGUCUUUAUCAAGUUGCUCCUCCAUACCCCGAGACGCUUGAUGGUGCUGAAUCGUCCCAUCCACAGAGUAUUGGUCUAUGGAACUGGAGGCACCCUUUAAGCACAAACCUCGCAAGGACCGUCAUGGGAUUUGGAGUGCUCAAUGGCAUCUUAAUUGGACUUCUCAAUCAGAGUCUAGGUUUCAACUCUGUUGAGUUCUAUCAGAGCAAGUCGAGCGCAUUAGUUGGAUCCAGCUUCUUGAUAUUGCAGAGGGACUCGUCAAAAGAGAGCCUGGCUGGUGUGGUCUUCAUGCUUGGUGUGGAGAAGCAGGGGAGGAUGAGUAGGAUGGGCAUGGGGAAGGAGCAGCCAGGACGGAGCUCUGGCGUUGCUCGCGUCAUGGUCAAAUGGAGCCGGCCCUCGCUAUGGGCUGCUGAUCGCCGUCGUCGUUCCCCAAUCUCAGUUGCUCAUCUUUGGCUCACCAUCUUCCUCCCCUGA
rnacentral:rRNA from 1 species